rnacentral:misc_RNA from 1 species
GUAAUAAUUGUGGACUAGUUGGGAUGGUGCUCAAUGGAGGGUAAAGAAAAGGGGCACACUUUGACUAUGGUGGAGUAAAAACCACUAAGAAUAUAAACAACUAUUUUUACGUUUAUGGCCGAAAGAACUUCUGAUUUGGAGCUGAGUUUAGUUGAAAGACUGGAUAUACUCUUUCUCAAAUUAUUUCCUAACUAGUUCUUUUAUUGUCACUAAAAGCCAGUUCAAUACAACAAUGGAUGAGCCGUUGGGUUCAUGGGUGUAUUGAAACACCUAUUCGGGAAGUUAAAAUUG